GGCCAGGCUGCACGGAAAGUGGGUGGCAUUUGCAUGGUGCCUCGCUAAAGCUGUCCAUCUUCUUCUGUAUGACUCUAUACAAGCGUGAACCCUGAGAACUGAGAGAGCCCCAUCUUCCUGCAGGAUGAGGGUCCCAGGGCCGGCUGACCUGACCUGCUGACCUGUUCCACUGUCAGUAGGAGGGGUGUGAAGGGGGAGGGGGGCUCUGAAGUUCACACUUUGGCCACUCUCCUUAAAACCAAUACUUUAUUAGAUUAUAGCCAUUGUUACGGUGGACAUUUUGAUCAGUUUUUUUUUUUUUCAACUUUUGCACGAAAUAUAAAAGUUCAAUUCACCAUCAUUUUUUAUUUGUUUGAACAAAAUACUUUUGCAACAAAUCGCCAUGCUUACUUUGAUUUUUCACUUUGUACAUGCAGGAAUACGCAAUGUAUGCACAGACUGCCACCAGUGUUCAAUAACCUAAACAUACACUACCGUUCAAAAGUUUGGGGUCACUUAGAAAUGUCCUUGUUUUCGAAAGA